rnacentral:rRNA from 1 species
CCCUUAGAUGUUCUGGGCCGCACGCGCGCUACAAUGAUGAAUUCAACGAGUUUAUAACCUUGGUUGAAAAGCCUGGGUAAUCUUUUGAACUUUCGUCGUGAUGGGGCUAGACCCUUGCAAUUAUUGGUCUCCAACGAGGAAUUCCUAGUAAACGCAAGUCAUCAGCUUGCAUUGAUUACGUCCCUGCCCUUUGUACACACCGCCCGUCGCACCUACCGAUUGAAUGGCCCGGUGAAAUCUUCGGAUUGAGACUUUGAUUUGUUUACUCAAAACGCUGUUUCAAGAAGUUGAUUAAACCUUACCAUUUAGAGGAAGGUGAAGUCGUAACA